UGCACCUGAUGCCCAGACCACAAGCUCCUACAUGCAAAAAGGUUCUUUAGAAAUACUCAAUGUUCCAUUUAAUGUAAAUUCUCCACACACACAUCAGUGUUCUAAGAGAAAUGUGGAGCUUCAGGGCUCAUUUAAGAGCAGAGCAGAUGUUGUGCUCAGUCAGGUGUUUGGGCUUUUCCUCGUUAGCAGAAUGCAGCACCUGCCAUCCUGAACACAAGCCUCCACCAUCAAAACGGUUAUUCUCCUGCUGAAAAAGGCUUCUGUUCUUUACAUGGCUUCAUUUUCAAUAAGCUUCUUUCAACAGUAAAGCAUGAGACAGACACUCGAUCAGACACCUAGCUCUGGUGUUGGAGGACUCUGCCAUCCACUCUGCACUUAUGUCACCAUCAGUCACAGGAACUUGAGCAGGAAUGGGAGGUUCUGCUCACAGCUUGGCUCACAGAGAGACCGAUCCGUCUUGCUCAAGGUUCUGAAAUAUUAAAUCUGAUCUUAAAAACUGUAAAGUAUUAAAUUAUUGCAAAAAUAUUCAUUUUUAAAUAACGUUAUUUACAAUUUGCACAACGAAUAAUGCAUGAUUGGUUAGAAUAAGGGGCGGGGCUAAUGCUUGUGCAAAUUCUCAUGACUAAUAAAAAUUCAAACAUUCUUAUGUUCAAACGUUCAUAAACGUGCAUUUAAAUAAAAACAAAAGAGAAUAAAACCCAAACCUCACUACAUGUACUGUAUUAUAAAUGUGCCCAAAGGGCCGGUGUGUGUGACUGCAGGCUCCAGUGUACUGAUAGUAAAUCAUUUUGUAAUUAAA